CAAUAGCGUAUAUUAAAGUUGUUGCGGUAAAAAAGCUCGUAGUUGGAUUUCUGUUGAGAGCGACCGGUCCAUACCAUGUAUGCGUAUCUGGCUUGCUCUCGGCAUCCUCUCGAUAGACGUUACUGCGCUUGAUUGCGUGGUGCGGAUCUCGGGACUUUUACUUUGAGGAAAUUAGAGUGUUCACGGCAGGCUUUCACCAGAAUACAUUAGCAUGGAAUAAUACUAUAGGAUCUUGGUUCUAUUUUGUUGGUUUCUAGAAUUGAGAUAAUGAUUAAUAGGGACAAUUGGGGGCAUUCGUAUCAACACGUCAGAGGUGGAAUUCUUGGAUUGUGUUGCGACGAACUACUGCGAAAGCAUUUGCCAAGGAUGUUUUCAUUGA
rnacentral:rRNA from 1 species